GGUUAAGCGACUAAGCGUACACGGUGGAUGCCCUGGCAGUCAGAGGCGAUGAAGGGCGUGCUAAUCUGCGAUAAGCGCCGGUAAGGUGAUAUGAACCGUUAUAACCGGCGAUACCCGAAUGGGGAAACCCAGUGUGAUUCGUCACACUAUCAUUAACUGAAUCCAUAGGUUAAUGAGGCGAACCGGGGGAACUGAAACAUCUAAGUACCCCGAGGAAAAGAAAUCAACCGAGAUUCCCCCAGUAGCGGCGAGCGAACGGGGAGGAGCCCAGAGCCUGAAUCAGCAUGUGUGUUAGUGGAAGCGUCUGGAAAGGCGCGCGAUACAGGGUGACAGCCCCGUACACAAAAGCGCAUGUGCUGUGAGCUCGAUGAGUAGGGCGGGACACGUGGUAUCCUGUCUGAAUAUGGGGGGACCAUCCUCCAAGGCUAAAUACUCCUGACUGACCGAUAGUGAACCAGUACCGUGAGGGAAAGGCGAAAAGAACCCCGGCGAGGGGAGUGAAAAAGAACCUGAAACCGUGUACGUACAAGCAGUGGGAGCACCCUUCGGGGUGUGACUGCGUACCUUUUGUAUAAUGGGUCAGCGACUUAUAUUCUGUAGCAAGGUUAACCGUAUAGGGGAGCCGGAGGGAAACCGAGUCUUAACCGGGCGUUAAGUUGCAGGGUAUAGACCCGAAACCCGGUGAUCUAGCCAUGGGCAGGUUGAAGGUUGGGUAACACUAACUGGAGGACCGAACCGACUAAUGUUGAAAAAUUAGCGGAUGACCUGUGGCUGGGGGUGAAAGGCCAAUCAAACCGGGAGAUAGCUGGUUCUCCCCGAAAGCUAUUUAGGUAGCGCCUCGUGAAUUCAUCUCCGGGGGUAGAGCACUGUUUCGGCUAGGGGGCCAUCCCGGCUUACCAACCCGAUGCAAACUGCGAAUACCGGAGAAUGUUAUCACGGGAGACACACGGCGGGUGCUAACGUCCGUCGUGAAGAGGGAAACAACCCAGACCGCCAGCUAAGGUCCCAAAGUCAUGGUUAAGUGGGAAACGAUGUGGGAAGGCCCAGACAGCCAGGAUGUUGGCUUAGAAGCAGCCAUCAUUUAAAGAAAGCGUAAUAGCUCACUGGUCGAGUCGGCCUGCGCGGAAGAUGUAACGGGGCUAAACCAUGCACCGAAGCUGCGGCAGCGAACGUAUCACCCAAGACAACUUUACGGAGUUGACGAUUGACGGAGCGAAGCGACGUCAAAGCGUUCAUUAAAGUCGAGUUGGCUUAGGGAUACGUUCGUUGGGUAGGGGAGCGUUCUGUAAGCCUGUGAAGGUGUGUCGUGAGGCAUGCUGGAGGUAUCAGAAGUGCGAAUGCUGACAUAAGUAACGAUAAAGCGGGUGAAAAGCCCGCUCGCCGGAAGACCAAGGGUUCCUGUCCAACGUUAAUCGGGGCAGGGUGAGUCGACCCCUAAGGCGAGGCCGAAAGGCGUAGUCGAUGGGAAACGGGUUAAUAUUCCCGUACUUGGUGUUACUGCGAAGGGGGGACGGAGAAGGCUAUGUUGGCCGGGCGACGGUUGUCCCGGUUUAAGCGUGUAGGUGUGUGUUCCAGGUAAAUCCGGUUCACUUUAACACUGAGGCGUGACGACGAGGCACUACGGUGCUGAAGCAACAAAUGCCCUGCUUCCAGGAAAAGCCUCUAAGCAUCAGGUAACACGAAAUCGUACCCCAAACCGACACAGGUGGUCAGGUAGAGAAUACCAAGGCGCUUGAGAGAACUCGGGUGAAGGAACUAGGCAAAAUGGUGCCGUAACUUCGGGAGAAGGCACGCUGACACGUAGGUGAAGUGAUUUACUCACGGAGCUGAAGUCAGUCGAAGAUACCAGCUGGCUGCAACUGUUUAUUAAAAACACAGCACUGUGCAAACACGAAAGUGGACGUAUACGGUGUGACGCCUGCCCGGUGCCGGAAGGUUAAUUGAUGGGGUCAGCGCAAGCGAAGCUCCUGAUCGAAGCCCCGGUAAACGGCGGCCGUAACUAUAACGGUCCUAAGGUAGCGAAAUUCCUUGUCGGGUAAGUUCCGACCUGCACGAAUGGCGUAAUGAUGGCCAGGCUGUCUCCACCCGAGACUCAGUGAAAUUGAACUCGCUGUGAAGAUGCAGUGUACCCGCGGCAAGACGGAAAGACCCCGUGAACCUUUACUAUAGCUUGACACUGAACAUUGAGCCUUGAUGUGUAGGAUAGGUGGGAGGCUUUGAAGUGUGGACGCCAGUCUGCAUGGAGCCGACCUUGAAAUACCACCCUUUAAUGUUUGAUGUUCUAACGUGGACCCGUAAUCCGGGUUGCGGACAGUGUCUGGUGGGUAGUUUGACUGGGGCGGUCUCCUCCUAAAGAGUAACGGAGGAGCACGAAGGUUGGCUAAUCCUGGUCGGACAUCAGGAGGUUAGUGCAAUGGCAUAAGCCAGCUUGACUGCGAGCGUGACGGCGCGAGCAGGUGCGAAAGCAGGUCAUAGUGAUCCGGUGGUUCUGAAUGGAAGGGCCAUCGCUCAACGGAUAAAAGGUACUCCGGGGAUAACAGGCUGAUACCGCCCAAGAGUUCAUAUCGACGGCGGUGUUUGGCACCUCGAUGUCGGCUCAUCACAUCCUGGGGCUGAAGUAGGUCCCAAGGGUAUGGCUGUUCGCCAUUUAAAGUGGUACGCGAGCUGGGUUUAGAACGUCGUGAGACAGUUCGGUCCCUAUCUGCCGUGGGCGCUGGAGAACUGAGGGGGGCUGCUCCUAGUACGAGAGGACCGGAGUGGACGCAUCACUGGUGUUCGGGUUGUCAUGCCAAUGGCACUGCCCGGUAGCUAAAUGCGGAAGAGAUAAGUGCUGAAAGCAUCUAAGCACGAAACUUGCCCCGAGAUGAGUUCUCCCUGAGACUUUAGGUCUCCUGAAGGAACGUUGAAGACGACGACGUUGAUAGGCCGGGUGUGUAAGCGCAGCGAUGCGUUGAGCUAACCGGUACUAAUGAACCGUGAGGCUUAACCUU
rnacentral:rRNA from 1 species